ACAGACGGUGAAUGUUCGUCGUCUUCCACUUGCUCAUCUUGCAGCUGGUUGACUAAGGACACUGAGAACUUGAAGGAACAGUUCAUAAUGGCCAUUACUCUGACCCCAAAACCUGAAGCUUCUACAAGCAACUACCCAAAGAACAUUGGAAUCGUCAUCACAGGACUUGGAAAUAUUGCAGCGGCCUUGCUCUGUCCUCCUUGGCUUGACCUACGCGCUGAAUCUCGAUUAUCACCUUUGUACACCUUUGAGGUAUUCCAAAAACGUUUCUUGGAACUGGAUCAACAAAGUCCAAUCCCUCUAGAGCAAACUUCAGGCUUGAAAUGAGACUGUAUUGCAGUGCAGACUUUUGUGCUAUGUCUUACUUGAGAAUUGCACAUUGAUGUUUGUAAGUUAGUACUGAUUUUUCCCACGAAUGUCAUGACAUUUCAAUUGUUGUAAGUUCAAAGUACAAAUGUAUUUUACUCUGUACAAAUUGCACUUUAAAGGUCCCAUUCUUCUCGAUUCCAUUUUUUAAACUUUAGUUAGUGUGUAAUGUUGCUGUUAGAGCAUAAAUAAUACAUGUAAAAUGAUAAACUUCAUAGAACAAGUAAGUCAAUCGGGCCAUUUUUUGGACAGUGAAAACAGCAGUAUACAGAUAAGUAAAUUGUGUGAAAAAUACAGUGUUUUUUACACGCGAAACAUGAACACAAUCAAAGCUUAAAAAAAACAUGGAGAACGGGACCUUUAAGGAUUUAUGGAGUAUUUAUGGAGUAUUUUUAUUUUAAGAUCUUUAUUGACCCAAUUUAGUGGCUA